rnacentral:rRNA from 1 species
GUGGGGAAUAUUGGACAAUGGGCGAAAGCCUGAUCCAGCAAUUCCGCGUGGGUGAUGAAGGCCUUCGGGUUGUAAAGCCCUUUCGGCCGGGAAGAAAAAGCUCUGGCUAACAUCCAGAGUGUUGACGGUACCGGAGGAAGAAGCACCGGCUAACUCUGUGCCAGCAGCCGCGGUAAUACAGAGGGUGCAAGCGUUAAUCGGAUUUACUGGGCGUAAAGCGUGCGUAGGUGGCCAUUUAAGUCGGAUGUGAAAGCCCUGGGCUUAACCUAGGAACUGCAUUCGAUACUGGAAGGCUAGAGUUCGGCAGAGGGUAAUGGAAUUCUCGGUGUAGCGGUGAAAUGCGUAGAUAUCGGGAGGAACAUCAAUGGCGAAGGCAAUUGCCUGGGCCUGGACUGACACUGAGGCACGAAAGCGUGGGGAUCAAACAGG